rnacentral:rRNA from 1 species
UACGUAGGGUGCAAGCGUUGUCCGGAAUUAUUGGGCGUAAAGAGCUCGUAGGCGGUCUGUCACGUCGGCUGUGAAAUCCCGAGGCUCAACCUCGGGUCUGCAGUCGAUACGGGCAAACUAGAGUAUUGCAGGGGAGACUGGAAUUCCUGGUGUAGCGGUGAAAUGCGCAGAUAUCAGGAGGAACACCGGUGGCGAAGGCAGGUCUCUGGGCCACUACUGACGCUGAGAAGCGAAAGCAUGGGGAGCGAACAGG